GCUUUCGACUUCCCACAGGUUGUCUCAAGUAUUUGGAACUGUCCAAAUCUCUGAAAAUAUCCAAAUCCCUUCAGUGACAAUGAAGGUUUGGAUCCUGCUUCUUCUGGCUGGGGCUGCCUUUACCUUGGUGUUUGCAGAGAGUGAUGAAGAAGACCCAAGUCCAGGAACUCCCAGUCCUGGAGACAUACCAGUCAACAGCGCCUGUCACUUAUCUGGCCCUUUAUUCAGUUUCUUGGAUGGUGUAGUAUUUGGACACUAGCAGGCCUCAGGUCCCCAGAAGAAUUCAUCCAGCCCCCAAGAUGAUACACUCCUUAGCAGUCAAUUUGUGAGAGAAAAAAAUAAUGCCAAUAAAAUAGAUACCAUUGAAGGGGAAA